GUUCCGAUCUCAGGCUGGCACGUUUCAAACCGGUGUAAGCCAGGUCGGUUUCUAUCCUCAAUUUUAUUAUAAUUUUUAGUACGAAAGGACCAUUAUUAUGAAAUAAUUUUUUAUUAUGAAUAAAAUU
rnacentral:rRNA from 1 species